GACGAACGCUGGCGGCGUGCCUAAUACAUGCAAGUCGAGCGAGCUUGCCUAGAUGAAUUUGGUGCUUGCACCAGAUGAAACUAGAUACAAGCGAGCGGCGGACGGGUGAGUAACACGUGGGUAACCUGCCCAAGAGACUGGGAUAACACCUGGAAACAGAUGCUAAUACCGGAUAACAACACUAGACGCAUGUCUAGAGUUUAAAAGAUGGUUCUGCUAUCACUCUUGGAUGGACCUGCGGUGCAUUAGCUAGUUGGUAAGGUAACGGCUUACCAAGGCAAUGAUGCAUAGCCGAGUUGAGAGACUGAUCGGCCACAUUGGGACUGAGACACGGCCCAAACUCCUACGGGAGGCAGCAGUAGGGAAUCUUCCACAAUGGACGCAAGUCUGAUGGAGCAACGCCGCGUGAGUGAAGAAGGGUUUCGGCUCGUAAAGCUCUGUUGGUAGUGAAGAAAGAUAGAGGUAGUAACUGGCCUUUAUUUGACGGUAAUU
rnacentral:rRNA from 1 species